ACCACGCUGCCACUAGUAGUCAACGCCAUUCAAAUUUCCUUCACCCCCACGCACCACCACACCAACCAAUGGCAAACGACUUCGAUUCGCAAGCAUCACCGUCGCACAUUUCUUCCCUCUUUACUGUCGUUAACCUUUCCAUUUUUCCACCGUUCGAUAAACCCUCCUCAAGCCAAACAGUAUCGCAGUUCCCUAGCACCAAGCUGCCAUCGUCCUAUGCACUUAAAAAC
rnacentral:lncRNA from 1 species